UGGUGAAAUGAUGGCAUACCAUCUUUCGGGACUGACAUUUAUCAUGGAGAUGUCUUUUCAAUGCACUGAUCACAC